UACGAAGGGGGCUAGCGUUGUUCGGAAUCACUGGGCGUAAAGGGCGCGUAGGCGGCUUUAUAAGUCGGGGGUGAAAGCCUGUGGCUCAACCACAGAAUUGCCUUCGAUACUGUAGAGCUUGAGACCGGAAGAGGUAAGUGGAACUGCGAGUGUAGAGGUGAAAUUCGUAGAUAUUCGCAAGAACACCAGUGGCGAAGGCGGCUUACUGGUCCGGUCCUGACGCUGAGGUGCGAAAGCGUGGGGAGCAAACAGG
rnacentral:rRNA from 1 species